CUUCUCAAAGGGUUCCUGACUGUGGAAAUCCAGUGGUCCACAACAGGCCCACAGUAGAUGGCAUCAAGCUUCCAUCGCAAGUCCAAUUUCAAACAAACUCUUUCAACUUUUCUGCUCAUGCAACACCACAGCACCUGAUAGAUCUGAAAACCAUAUCGCAGUUCUCGGAAAGGUUCAGGUGAAGGUCCCUCGGCUAAAUGUCCAGCCCCUCAAAAGAAAUCUCCAGCCGAGUGGAAAGAACCCGACAAGGUGAGCCAAAUUACUCGGACAGUAUUAGUUCUCCCAGUUUUUCCCCUUACCAGGGGUUUCCAGGCAGGCUUCCUCCAAAUAAUACCCAACCUAUCAGGUUUCCAGGCAUGCAGAAGUUCAACACCAAAAAUUCGCAAUUACGGAAAGAACUUUGUCAUAAAACAGAAUCGUAUUAUUCUCAAUUUCAAAGUACAGCAAUGAACGUGUGGUAGUCACUAACCAUCACCAAAAAUGCAUGCCAACCGAAAGAGACAGAUAAUCAUGUGAAAGUUCUUACCUCCUGCAAACACUCGACAGUAGAAAAAGACAGACGGAGGAACAAGAAAA